rnacentral:sRNA from 2 species
CAAAAAGCUGUCUAGGGUUCCGUUCUUUAUGUUGGAGAAUUCCCUCCUUCCACAUACAAGAAGUCUGGUCCGAGAGAGAGCGUAUAGGUAAUGGACCCCUCUUACCUAUAUACACGGAAGGAUAAAAGCCUGGGAGAU